CCCUUAGAUGUUCUGGGCCGCACGCGCGCUACACUGACGAAUACAACGAGCUUAUAACCUUGGCCGAAAGGUCUGGGUAAUCUCCAAAUUUCGUCGUGAUGGGGAUAGAUUAUUGCAAUUAUUAAUCUUCAACGAGGAAUGCCUAGUAAGCGCAAGUCAUCAGCUUGCGUUGAUUACGUCCCUGCCCUUUGUACACACCGCCCGUCGCUCCUACCGAUUGAAUGGUCCGGUGAAGCGUUCGGACCGUGGCCUUUGGACGGUUCGCCGUCUGUUGGCUGCGGGAAGUUCGUUAAACCUUAUCAUUUAGAGGAAGGAGAAGUCGUANCA
rnacentral:rRNA from 1 species